UACAGAGGGGGCAAGCGUUGUCCGGAAUUACUGGGCGUAAAGCGUGCGCAGGCGGUUCGUUGUGUCGGCGGGGAAAGCCCCGGGCUUAACCUGGGAAUGGCCGUCGAAACUGGCGAACUGGAGUGUGGCAGAGGGGGGUGGAAUUCCGCGUGUAGCAGUGAAAUGCGUAGAGAUGCGGAGGAACACCGAUGGCGAAGGCAGCCCCCUGGGCUGACACUGACGCUCAGGCACGAAAGCGUGGGGAGCAAACAGG
rnacentral:rRNA from 1 species